GUUAGUCAAUGGUGUUACUUAUUUUUAUUUAUGAAAUUUAACUAUAAAUUCAGUUCACUUAACUUACGGUACCUAACUUUAUUUUUUCUCUCUCGAAUCCCUCAAGAGUGACUUAAGAAAGGCAUAAGCCUAGUUUGUUAUACACUUUUCAGUGAUUCAGUUUUACCCUAAUAACUUAGAAUGUCGUCUCAUGUGUGUAAACUAUGUUCUAAGACAUUCACUAAAAGGUUUUCUCUGAAGAGACAUUAUAAUAAUGUUCACAACGAAUACAGCCCUAAUGUCGGAGACCCAAGGUGUUCACAAACUGUUCAGUGUGCAAUAUGUGCUUCAGACCUUGUUAAUACAGCCAAUUUGAAUGAUCACUUAUAUUCUAAACAUCAGAUUAAUAUCGAAUCGGAGAAAAUUUCAUUCAUUUGUGAAGAAGAAUUUUUAAAGUGGAAGAAGUGUCAUGAAGAAAGUGAAAAAACUCUGUUUAUCAACAGAAGGGGUAGCUACACAUAUAAAGACAAAAAAAUCACUUACUAUCAGUGCCAUCGAUCAGGUAAUUACAGAACACACUUAUCUUCUGAGUCUUGUCGCAAACGAUCCAUAAAAAUUCAGGGAACAAAGAAAAUAAAUAGUUACUGUCCUGCAAAAAUUAAAGCUAUUACUUCGAUGGUAAAUGGUAGCGUUAAAGUGGAAUUUUGUAAGACUCAUAUAGGACAUCAAGCUGAGAUAGCCCAUUUGAGUAUCCCUAAAGAUGAACGACAAAGUAUUGCAACCAAAAUUGCCCAACAAAUCCCGUUUGAAGCUAUUAUUGAUGAGGCUCGGCAAACUGUUACCAACGAGAUUACAAGGAGACAUCUUCUGACAAAACAAGAUCUUAGAAAUAUAGUGAGAGACUAUAGUUUAGAUGAUGAAUGUGUUAGAAAUAUAGUGAGAGAAUAUAGUUUAAUUAAUGAAUGUGUACGACAUACAAAUGAUGCGAUCAAUGUUGAAAAAGGGGUAGAAAUGGAAAUAGCUAAAAAGUGACAAGAACUCAUUCAUUAGUGUACAAACCUCAGGGUCUUCAUCUGAUUAAUUUUGGGAAACACAGGUUAAACUGAAGUUUUAUAAUUGAAGAUGAGUGUAAGCAGCUUCUUGUCUGGA